rnacentral:tmRNA from 1 species
GGGACUGACUUGGUUUCUACGUAUUGAAAUUUUCAUUAAGUUAGGUUUCACUUUAUUGCUCAAUUGUUUUCAAAGAUUUAUUUUAUAGAAGCAAAACAUAACAUAUUAGUUUUUUCUAAAAAUUUAGUUACUAUCUAAACUUUUAAUGUAUUCAUUUACAUUUCCCUAUGUAAUUUGAUAUAUUAUAUGGGAUGCUCUUGUUAUAGAUUCUUAAAGUGAUGAUUUAGUUAUUUAAUAAGCAAAGUUGAAAAACAUAGUACUUUUUAAUAUAUAAACCAAUUCACAAAGUAACUUAAUCUUAUAUAUCAAUACGGACGUGGGUUCGAUUCCCACCAGUUCCA